rnacentral:lncRNA from 1 species
ACUUUCGCGGGGAGUUGAAAUCAGCUGGGGUGCCUAGUCUUUUUUGCGCGUUUUCUGGUUGUGGAGGGUGAUGUAGUGCGGGCGGUAGGUAGGGUAAAUAAAGGACAAGGACUGUCAGGAUGUUCUUCUGCUUUAGUCCCUUCCCCAAUCUCCCACUUUCAAACUGGUCUUCUGAGAUUCCCGCUUCCGGAUCUGCUUUUCUCCGAACUUCUCUGGACUGAGACCUGGCUGUCCCGUAAGGAUGCUGCAUCCUCUCACAUGGCUUCCAGCCACAGCUUGUGGAAGUUCCUGGCCUGAGAGUGAAUCCUAGCUGCAGCUGUGGCAACAGCGGAUCCUUUAACCCACUGUGCUGGACCAGGAAUCGAUCCUGCAUCUCUGCAGUGAACCAAACUGCCACAGUCAGGUUCUCAACCCACUGUGUCACAGUGGGAACUCCACCUUGUUCGUACUUUAAAUCAGAUUGUUGGUAUUUAGUGUACAUGUCUUGAGUUAUAUGUCAGCUUUCAUCAACCCUAGGGAGCUGCCAGCACCUGGGUAUUGAGGCCCCAAACUGAACUUUGAGAUUCUUUAAAGUAUUGAGGCCUCCUAGAAGUGGGUAGCCAGCCUUCCUCUGCAGGAAGCAGCUCUCUUGCCAUAUUCUGUUUCAAUCUACUCUCAUUGCAAAAGUCCUUUUCAAUCCUGUAACUCUUGGCUCUGCUGACAUUUUGAUGAACUGGACUCUAUUGUUCUUUCUCUCACCUGGGAAGAGAAGAGGUCAGACCUCUAAGGCAAAUAAAAAGGCCAAUCCCAAAGUGACUCAUCUUUGAAAACACUGGGUCAUUCCACACUUUUUCACACUUAAUUGAAAGCUGUCUUUGCAAAGCUUCACCAAGAGAUUUCCGCAGUGGCCUCAGCAUUUAGUAGCCCCAUAGACUGCCAGAGCAAAAGGGAACGGGAGGCAGUUUAAACCAUCUGUUCUAGAACAAGACAUCUGGUCUCGGGUCUGUGCCUUUGGUUGGGGCUCUUUGGGAACCAUCUGCCUCCCCAUCUGACAGAGCUGUUAUAAGCCAGGCACUGUCAAGUGUUAGGGAGACUAAGAGGAGAGGGUGCCCAAGCUGAAGUCAUCCUGGUAGUGAGCUUGGUUGUCUGGGAGAAUUGUGGGGCUAACCAGUUCCUGUAAACAUGUCUAUAGACACCCACACAUGCCCAGGGGCUUUAAACCAUCAAAAGUCUUUUAUUUCCAAGUGCCAACACUGGAUGUUGAGUUCUUGAGGAUAGUAAUAUACAUUUUCUAUUGCCAAGGUUGGCCAAGACUCUUGCCCUUUCUGUGUUAAAAGAAAAAAAAAAAAAA